AGUUACCAGCACGUUAAGGUGGGCACUCUAAGGAGACUGCCGGUGACAAACCGGAGGAAGGUGGGGAUGACGUCAAGUCAUCAUGGCCCUUACGGCCUGGGCUACACACGUGCUACAAUGGUCGGUACAAAGGGUUGCCAAGCCGCGAGGUGGAGCUAAUCCCAUAAAACCGAUCGUAGUCCGGAUCGCAGUCUGCCAACUCGACUGCGUGAAGUCGGAAUCGCUAGUAAUCGUGAAUCCAGAAUGUCCACGGUCGAAUACGUUCCGGGCCUU
rnacentral:rRNA from 1 species